UACGGGGGGGGCAAGCGUUGUUCGGAAUUACUGGGCGUAAAGGGCUCGUAGGCGGCCAACUAAGUCAUACGUGAAAUCCCUCAGCUUAACUGGGGAACUGCGUGUGAUACUGGAUGGCUUGGAUUUGGGAGAGGGAUGCGGAAUUCCAGGUGUAGCGGUGAAAUACGUAGAUAUCUGGAGGAACACCGGUGGCGAAGGCGGCAUCCUGGACCAAUAUUGACGCUGAGGAGCGAAAGCCAGGGGAGCAAACGGG
rnacentral:rRNA from 1 species